rnacentral:rRNA from 1 species
GGUCAAGCUACAAAGGGCGCAUGGUGAAUGCCUUGGCAUCAGGAGCCGAUGAAGGACGUGAUAAGCUGCGAUAAGCUUCGGGUAGGCGCACAUAGCCUGAGAUCCGAAGAUUUCCGAAUGAGGAAACUCACAUGGGAAACCCCAUGUAUCAUUAAGUGAAUACAUAGCUUAAUGAAGGUAACCCAGGGAACUGAAACAUCUAAGUACCUGGAGGAAGAGAAAGAAAAAUCGAUUUUCUUAGUAGCGGCGAGCGAAAGGGAAAGAGCCCAAACCGGAAACUUGUUUCCGGGGUUGUGGACAUAGCAUAAAAGUGGAGGCUAUUGUAACUGAAGAGAACUGGAAAGUUCCACCGUAGAAGGUAAUAGUCCUGUAAGUGAAACGAGAAGACCACGAGUUAUGAUCCAGAGUACCACGAGACACGUGAAACCUUGUGGGAAGCAGGGAGGACCACCUCCCAAGGCUAAAUACUACCUGAUGACCGAUAGUGAAGCAGUACCGUGAGGGAAAGGUGAAAAGAACCCCGGGAGGGGAGUGAAAUAGAACCUGAAACCGUGUGCCUACAACCGCUCAGAGCCCCUUAUGAGGGUGAUGAGGUGCUUUUUGUAGAACGAGCCAACGAGUUACGGUAUGUAGCAAGGUUAAGUACUUAAGGUACGGAGCCGAAGGGAAACCGAGUCUGAAUAGGGCGACUAGUUGCAUGCCGUAGACCCGAAACCGGGUGACCUAUCCAUGGCCAGGUUGAAGCGAGGGUAAAACCUCGUGGAGGACCGAACCACGUUGCUGUUGAAAAAGCAUGGGAUGAGCUGUGGAUAGCGGAGAAAUUCCAAUCGAACCCGGAGAUAGCUGGUUCUCUCCGAAAUAGCUUUAGGGCUAGCGUCGAGUAUGAGUAGUGGAGGUAGAGCACUGAAUGGGCUAGGGGGCAUAGCGCUUACCGAACCUUAUCAAACUCCGAAUGCCACAUACUUUGAGCUCGGCAGUCAGACUACGAAUGAUAAGAUCCGUGGUCAAAAGGGAAACAGCCCAGAUCGUCAGCUAAGGUCCCAAAGUGUAAGUUAAGUGGGAAAGGAUGUGAGAUUUCUAAGACAACUAGGAUGUUGGCUUAGAAGCAGCCAUUCAUUAAAAGAGUGCGUAAUAGCUCACUAGUCGAGAGAUCUUGCGCCGAAAAUGUAACGGGGCUAAACUUACCACCGAAGCUACGGGCUUGAACUUAGUUCAAGCGGUAGGAGAGCGUCGUAACCGGGCUGAAGUCGUACCGUAAGGAGCGGUGGACUGGUUACGAGUGAGAAUGUUGGCAUCAGUAGCGAGAUGUGGGUGAGAAUCCCACAGGCCGAAAACCUAAGGUUUCCUCAGGAAGGUUCGUCCGCUGAGGGUUAGUCGGGACCUAAGCCGAGGCCGAAAGGCGUAGGUGAUGGACAACUGGUUGAUAUUCCAGUACCACUACCAUCGUUAUUAUCGAUGGCGUGACGCAGGAGGAUAGUGUGUGCUAGCUAUUGGAUGCUAGUCUAAGCGUUUAGGCAGUGAGAGUAGGCAAAUCCGCUCUCAUAAUGCUGAGGCGUGAUGGGGAAGGUUCUACGGAACCGAAGUACAUGAUUCCACGCUGCCAAGAAAAGCGUCUAGAGAGAGAAGUAGUGCCCGUACCGCAAACCGACACAGGUAGGUGAGGAGAGAAUCCUAAGGCCGGCGGAAGAAUUACAGUUAAGGAACUCGGCAAAUUGACCCCGUAAGUUCGCGAGAAGGGGUGCCUACGAGAGUAGGCCGCAGAGAAUAGGCCCAAGCAACUGUUUAGCAAAAACACAGGUCUCUGCUAAAGCGUAAGCUGAUGUAUAGGGGCUGACGCCUGCCCGGUGCUGGAAGGUUAAGGGGAACACUUAGCGCAAGCGAAGGUGUGAACUUAAGCCCCAGUAAACGGCGGCCGUAACUAUAACGGUCCUAAGGUAGCGAAAUUCCUUGUCAGGUAAGUUCUGACCCGCACGAAUGGCGUAAUGACUUGGGCACUGUCUCAACUGUAAAUCCGGCGAAGUUGUAGUGCGAGUGAAGAUGCUCGCUACCCGCGAUUGGACGGAAAGACCCCGUAGAGCUUUACUGUAGCUUAGCAUUGAGUUUUGGUAUUGUCUGUACAGGAUAGGUGGGAGACUAGGAAACCAGGGCGUCAGCCUUGGUGGAGUCAACCUUGGGAUACCACCCUGACAGUACUGAAAUUCUAACUGGCGGCCAUGAAUCUGGUCACAGGACAUUGUUAGGUGGGCAGUUUGACUGGGGCGGUCGCCUCCUAAAAAGUAACGGAGGCGCCCAAAGGUUCCCUCAGAACGGUCGGAAAUCGUUCGAAGAGUGCAAAGGCAGAAGGGAGCCUGACUGCGACACCCACAAGUGGAGCAGGGACGAAAGUCGGGCUUAGUGAUCCGGUGGUACCUCGUGGGAGGGCCAUCGCUCAACGGAUAAAAGCUACCUCGGGGAUAACAGGCUGAUCUCCCCCAAGAGUCCACAUCGACGGGGAGGUUUGGCACCUCGAUGUCGGCUCGUCGCAUCCUGGGGCUGAAGUAGGUCCCAAGGGUUGGGCUGUUCGCCCAUUAAAGCGGCACGCGAGCUGGGUUCAGAACGUCGUGAGACAGUUCGGUCCCUAUCCGUCGCGGGCGUAGGAAAUUUGAGAGGAGCUGUCCUUAGUACGAGAGGACCGGGAUGGACUGACCUCUGGUGUACCAGUUGUUCCGCCAGGAGCACAGCUGGGUAGCUAAGUCGGGAAUGGAUAAACGCUGAAAGCAUCUAAGCGUGAAGCCAACCUCAAGAUGAGAUUUCCCAUAGCGUAAGCUAGUAAGAUCCCUUGAAGAACACAAGGUUGAUAGGUCGGGGGUGUAAGCAUGGUAACAUGUUCAGCUGACCGAUACUAAUAGAUCGAGGGCUUGACCAA